GCCGGGUACAGUGCUGCAUGCCUGUAAUCCCAGUAGCUUGGGAGGCUGAUGCUGGAGAUGGUGAGUUCAAAGCCAGCCUCAG
rnacentral:sRNA from 1 species